rnacentral:rRNA from 1 species
GGUUCGAUCCUGGCUCAGAUUGAACGCUGGCGGGAUGCUUUACACAUGCAAGUCGAACGGCAGCACGGACUUCGGUCUGGUGGCGAGUGGCGAACGGGUGAGAGUAAUGUAUCCGGAACAUGCCUAGUAGCGGGGGAUAACUACGCGAAAGCGUAGCUAAUACCGCAUACGCCCUUCGGGGAAAGCGGGGGAUCUUCGGGCCUCGCACUAUUAAGAGCGGCCGAUAUCGGAUUAGCUAGUUGGUGGGGUAACGGCUCGCAAGGCGACGAUCCGUAGCUGGUUUGAGAGGACGACCAGCCACACUGGGACUGAGACACGGCCCAGACUCCUACGGGAGGCGCUUCAGUGGGGAAUUUUUGGACAAUGGGGAAACCUGAUCCAGCCAUCCCGCGUGUGCAUUGAAGGCCUUCAGGUUCCUUCGGCUUGCGCGGCGGGAAAGAAACGGCGGAUAAUACCCGUGCAACUGACGGUACACAGAUAAGCACCGGCUAACUACGUGCCAGUUAAUACGUAGGGUGCAAGCGUUAAUCGGAAUUACUGGAGCUUAAAGCGUGCGCCGGUUCGGAAGAAAGAUGUGAAAUCCCAGAGCUUAACUUUGGAACUGCAUUUUCUUCUCCGAGCUAGAGUGUGUCCAGAGGGAGGUGGAAUUCAUGAUAUCUUAGCAGUGAAAUGCGUGAAUAUGCGGAGGAACACCGAUGGCGAAGGCAGCCUCCUGGGAUAACACUGACGCUCAUGCACGAAAGCGUGGGAGCAAACAGGAUUAGACCACCUGGUAGUCUACGCCUAACUGAUGUCCAACUAGCUGUUGACCGGGCCUUGGUAGCGCAGCUAACGCGUGAAGUUGACCGCCUGGGAAGUACGGUCAUGAUUAAAACUCAAAGGAAUUGACGGGGACCCGCACAAGCGGUGGAUGAUGUGGAUUAAUUCGAUGCAACGCGAAAAACAUACCUACCCUUGACAUGUCUGGGUCAGAAGAUUUGGGAGUGCUCGCAAGAGAACCGGAACACGCAGGUGCUGCAUGGCUGUCGUCAGCUCGUGUCGUGAGAUGUUGGGUUAAGUCCGCAACGAGCGCAACCCUUGUCAUUAGUUGCUACGAAAGGGCACUCUAAUGAGACUGCCGGUGACGCAAACCGGAGGAAGGUGGGGAUGACGUCAAGUCCUCAUGGCCCGCCAUCGGUGGGGCUUUACGUCUCUGCAAUGGUGCGGGACCAGAAGACGCCAACCCGCAGGGAGCCAAUCCCCGAAACCCGAUCGUAGUCCGGAUGCCAGUCUGCAACUCGACUGCGUGAAGUCGGAAUCGCUAGUAAUCGCGGAUCAGCAUGUCGCGGUGAAUACGUUCCCGGGUCUUGGCCCUUUCGCCGUCGCAGCAGAUGGGUUUUACCAGAAGUAGUUAGCCUAACAUAAGGAGGGCGAUUACCACGGUAGGAUUCAUAGGCUAGGGGUAAGUCGUAACAAGGUACAA